rnacentral:rRNA from 1 species
UACGGAGGGUGCGAGCGUUGUCCGGAAUCACUGGGCGUAAAGGGCGCGUAGGCGGCCUGAUAAGUCGGGGGUGAAAUCCUGCGGCUUAACCGCAGGGAUGCCUUCUAAACUGUCAGGCUAGAGCACAGUAGAGGCAGGUGGAAUUCCCGGUGUAGCGGUGGAAUGCGUAGAGAUGUGGAGGAACACCGAUGGCGAAGGCAGCCCCCUGGGCCGGCACUGACGCUAAGGCACGAAAGCGUGGGGAGCAAACAGG